GGUGAUUUGGCUCAGUGGUAGAGCGCUUGCCUAGCAAGCACAAGGCCCUGGGUUCGGUUCCCAGCUCCA
rnacentral:tRNA from 1 species